AGACGCUGGAGGCGAGAUGGGACCUCCAGGCCCAGGUCACCCUGCUGAUUAAUUCAAGCUCGGCCUAUUCUGCGCACCUGAGGAUGGCAUCAGCCUCCGCACACCAGGCAGUGUGAAUGGCUCUUCCUCAGAGACCCGUGGACACACCCACAGUGCCUCCUCACCUUUGGAAAGGGCAUGCCCCAUGCCUCUGCCCAGGAAGGCUCCGCUCAGUACUCCUGUCACCCCGGUCCUUGAAGACUUCCCUCAGAAUGAUGAUGAAAAGGAGCGGCUGCAGCGGAGGCGCUCCCGGGUCCUGGACCUGCAGUUCAGUACCGACUCGCCUCACCUGUUGGCCUCCCCCACCAGCAGGAGUGUUGAUGCUUCCACUACAGUACCGAAAUUCACAAACACACAGAUCACAGAACAUUACUCCACUUGUAUCAAACUAUCCACUGAGAACAAAAUCACUA
rnacentral:lncRNA from 1 species